AUGGCCAAAAUUUUCGCCCCGCAAUUUUUUUUUUCGAGCCGCCGCCAUAGCUCUGACCCAGCCCGCCAAUCCACCGGUUCAAGCUUCCGGCCACGUCACCGAUCCGCGGCAUCCCGCCCCCGGAUCGCCAUCUCCACCGUCCACUCCAUCCGCAUCCAACGGCAGGCAGAGGCCUCCUCCAACCUCUCGCCCCCUUUAAAACGCCCUUGGCCCCUGCUCCCAAAUCACAUCACCAGUAGCCAGUAGCCACCGCCGUUCCUCCGGUUCCACAUCCGCUCGCAGCUCGAGAUCGGCAGCCAUGUCCGGGCGUGGCAAGGGAGGCAAGGGGCUCGGCAAGGGCGGCGCCAAGCGCCACAGGAAGGUUCUGCGCGACAACAUCCAGGGCAUCACCAAGCCGGCGAUCCGGCGGCUGGCGCGGAGGGGCGGCGUGAAGCGCAUCUCGGGGCUCAUCUACGAGGAGACCCGCGGCGUGCUCAAGAUCUUCCUCGAGAACGUCAUCCGCGACGCCGUCACCUACACCGAGCACGCCCGCCGCAAGACCGUCACCGCCAUGGACGUCGUCUACGCGCUCAAGCGCCAGGGGCGCACCCUCUACGGCUUCGGCGGCUAGGCCCGGCCGACGGUCGCAUGUCUCUCUCGCCGCCUGCAGAUUCGAAAAGCUUGAUGGAACCCCGACCUGUCUAGUUCGCUGUUUCCUGUGUAGCUCGCAUGUGUUUGUUGGAAAUCAAACUUCUCUCUGCAAA